rnacentral:rRNA from 1 species
GACGAACGCUGGCGGCGUGCUUAACACAUGCAAGUCGAGCGAGGUCCAUCUGGUGGCAACACCAGUGAAGGCCGAGCGGCGAACGGGUGAGUAACACGUGAGCAACCUGCCCCGAAGUCUGGAAUAACAUCGGGAAACCGGUGCUAAUACCGGAUCGCCCCACCUGACCGCAUGAUCGGGUGAGGAAAGAUUUAUCGCUUCGGGAGGGGCUCGCGGCCUAUCAGCAGUUGGUGGGGUAACGGCCUACCAAGGCGUCGACGGGUAGCUGGUCUGAGAGGACGACCAGCCACACUGGGACUGAGACACGGCCCAGACUCCUACGGGAGGCAGCAGUAGGGAAUCUUGCGCAAUGGGCGAAAGCCUGACGCAGCAACGCCGCGUGGGGGAUGACGGCCUCGGUU